UACGGGGGAGCAAGCGUUGUUCGGAAUCACUGGGCGUAAAGGGAGUCUAGGCGGUUUGGUAAGUGGGAUGUGAAAUCCCCGGGCUCACCCCGGGACCUGCAUCCCAAACUGCUGAGCUUGAGUACAGGAGAGGGUGGGGAAUUCCAGGUGUAGCGGUGAAAUGCGUAGAUAUCUGGAGGAACACCGGUGGCGAAGGCGGCAUCCUGGACCAACACUGACGCUGAUGAGCGAAAGCCAGGGGAGCAAACGGG
rnacentral:rRNA from 1 species